rnacentral:misc_RNA from 1 species
UCGAGAAUAACUUCUCCUCCCAAGGUCCCCACACAAGACACCUGCAUCCAGAAAGCGGAAACGAAUUCGGCAAUGCCGUUUCGUGCCAGUUCCAACAAUUGAUUGGGGCUGUAGCUCAGUUGGGAGAGCGCUAGCUUUGCAAGCUUGAGGUCGUCGGUUCGAUCCCGAUCAGCUCCACCAACCAAACACUAAACGGGUCUGUAGCUCAGGUGGUUAGAGCGCACCCCUGAUAAGGGUGAGGUCGGUGGUUCGAGUCCUCCCAGACCCACCAUUCUGGAUGUUGCGCACACACGAAUUUAUGCUGUUGGACGUUGAGGUCCAAUGGUGUUCUUUGACAAUUUGGGACGUAACAAGCGUCUGAACUCUCAAACCGAGUUUAGAUGUGUCGUUGAGGCAAUUAGGCGAGUCUUGGACCGUGUAAUUCCGAGGAGACUUGGAGUUAUAUGGUCAAGCGAAUAAGCGUCUACGGUGGAUGCCUUGGCGGUCAGAGGCGAAGAAGGACGUGGCAGCCUGCGAAAAGCGCGGGGGAGCCGGCAACACGCAUUGAUCCCGCGAUGU